rnacentral:rRNA from 1 species
GAUGAACGCUGGCGGCGUGCCUAAUACAUGCAAGUCGAGCGAACGGACGAGAAGCUUGCUUCUCUGAUGUUAGCGGCGGACGGGUGAGUAACACGUGGAUAACCUACCUAUAAGACUGGGAUAACUUCGGGAAACCGGAGCUAAUACCGGAUGAUAUUUUGAACCGCAUGGUUCAAAAGUGAAAGACGGUCUUGCUGUCACUUAUAGAUGGAUCCGCGCUGCAUUAGCUAGUUGGUAAGGUAACGGCUUACCAAGGCAACGAUGCAUAGCCGACCUGAGAGGGUGAUCGGCCACACGGGAACUGAGACGCGGUCCAGACUCCUACGGGAGGCAGCAGUAGGGAAUCUUCCGAAAUGGGCGAAAGCCUGACGGAGCAACGCCGCGUGAGUGAUGAAGGUCUUCGGAUCGUAAAACUCUGUUAUUAGGGAAGAACAUAUGUGUAAGUAACUGUGCACAUCUUGACGGUACCUAAUCAGAAAGCCACGGCUAACUACGUG